rnacentral:rRNA from 1 species
CAUGCAAGUCGGUACGGGANAUAUCCUAGAUGGUAUUUCCAGUGGCGGACGGGUGANCUANCGCGCUAAGAACCUAUCCUUAGGAGGGGGACAACAGCCUGGAAACGGUUGCUAAUACCCCAUAUGCUGAGGAGCAAAAGGAGGAAUCCGCCCAAGGAGGGUCUUGCGUCUGAUUAGCUAGUUGGUGAGGUAAUGGCUCACCAAGGCAACGAUCAGUAGCUGGUCUGAGAGGAUGAUCAGCCACACUGGGACUGAGACACGGCCCAGACUCUUACGGGAGGCAGCAGUGGGGAAUUUUCCGCAAUGGGCGAAAGCCUGACGGAGCAAUGCCGCGUGGAGGUAGAAGGCUCACGGGUCGUAAACUCCUUUUCUCANANAAGAUGCAAUGACGGUAUCUGAGGAAUAAGCAUCGGCUAACUCUGUGCCAGCAGCCGCGGUAAGACAGAGGAUGCAAGCGUUAUCCGGAAUGAUUGGGCGUAAAGCGUCUGUAGGUGGCUUUUUAAGUCCGCCGUCAAAUCCCAGGGCUCAACCCUGGACAGGCGGUGGAAACUACUAAGCUGGAGUACGGUAGGGGCAAAGGGAAUUUCCGGUGGAGCGGUGAAAUGCGUAGAGAUCGGAAAGAACACCAAUGGCGAAAGCACUUUGCUGGGCCGACACUGACACUGANAGACNAAAGCUAGGGGAGCAAAUGGGAUUANAUACCCCAGUAGUCCUAGCUGUAAACGAUGNAUACUAAGCGCUGUGCGUAUCGACCCGUGCAGUGC